rnacentral:lncRNA from 1 species
CAAGAAAAAAAAUGUGCAGAAAAACAAGCAACAACUAUCCCAUGACUAACAACUCCUAAGUCUAUGAGAUUCUCCAAACGAAUAAGUGAAACAAACAACCACCUUCCUAAAGAGAAGAGAUUUAUUAAAUAAAUAAAACAACUUGAAACCUUAACACUCCCCUAAACUGAUUUCUUCCUAAAAUAGUUUAGGAAUCAAACAUCAUCUUUAGUCCAGUGUUGAUGCCCUCCUUUGAACAACGACCUGUGAAGAGCAGACUCCAAGAAUGUUUCUGAGCUUCUCGAACACUGGCUAUUUCAGUGGUUUGGUGAGGAUAUCAACUGCUUGGUUUUCAUUUUUGCAGAAUUCUAACUCAAUUACACCAUCUUUUCACAUAUCACGCAAGAAAUGGUAACGAACAUCAAUAUGUUUGCUUCACCCAUGCAUAACUGGAUUCCUUGACAACUU